rnacentral:rRNA from 1 species
UACAGAGGUCCCAAGCGUUGUUCGGAUUCACUGGGCGUAAAGGGUGCGUAGGCGGUCGGGUAAGUCUGAUGUGAAAUCUCACAGCUUAACUGUGAAACUGCAUUGGAUACUAUUCGGCUUGAGAGUUGGAGGGGGACUGGAAUUCUUGGUGUAGCAGUGAAAUGCGUAGAUAUCAAGAGGAACACCAGUGGCGAAGGCGAGUCCCUGGACAACUUCUGACGCUGAGGCACGAAAGCUAGGGGAGCAAACAGG